GUCAGUAUGGUGUAGUGGUAUGAGUAUUAGACUACAACUCUGGAGACCCAGGUUCAAAUCCCUGCUGGACA